rnacentral:rRNA from 1 species
AUACGGAGGAUCCGAGCGUUAUCCGGAUUUAUUGGGUUUAAAGGGUGCGCAGGCGGCCAUUUAAGUCAGCGGUUAAAUCGCGGGGCUCAACCCCAUUCUGCCGUUGAUACUGGGUGGCUUGAUUGCGGUCGAGGUUGGCGGAAUUCGUUGUGUAGCGGUGAAGUGCAUAGGUAUGACGAAGAACACCGGUUGCGGAGGCAGCUGACCAGACCGCAAAUGACGCUCAUGCACGAAAGUGCGGGGAUCGAACAGGAUUAGAUACCCUGGUAGUCCGCACAGUAAACGAUGAAUACUUGUUGUCGGCGAUAUAAUGUCGGAGGCAAAGCGAAAGCGAUAAGUAUUCCACCUGGGGAGUACGCCGGCAACGGUGAAACUCAAAGGAAUUGACGGGG